rnacentral:rRNA from 1 species
UACGUAGGGUCCGAGCGUUGUCCGGAAUUAUUGGGCGUAAAGGGCUCGUAGGCGGUUCGUCACGUCGGGAGUGAAAACUCGGGGCUUAACCCCCGAGCCUGCUUCCGAUACGGGCAGACUAGAGGUAGGCAGGGGAGAGCGGAACUCCUGGUGUAGCGGUGGAAUGCGCAGAUAUCAGGAAGAACACCGGUGGCGAAGGCGGCUCUCUGGGCCUUACCUGACGCUGAGGAGCGAAAGCGUGGGGAGCGAACAGG